UACGUAGGGUGCGAGCGUUGCCCGGAUUUAUUGGGCGUAAAGGGCGCGUAGGCGGCUCUGCACGUCCGUUGUGAAAUCGCCCGGCUCAACUGGGCGGGGUCAGCGGAUACGGCGGAGCUUGAGCAAGCUAGGGGGCAAUGGAAUUCCCGGUGUAGUGGUGGAAUGCGUAGAUAUCGGGAGGAACACCAGUGGCGAAGGCGGCUAUCUGGGCUGCAACUGACGCUGAGGCGCGAAGGCUAGGGUAGCAAACAGG
rnacentral:rRNA from 1 species